GCUGGACAUGGUGGCGCACGCCUGUCAUCCCAGCAACUAAGGAGGCUGAGGCAGGAGGAUCACAAGUUCAAGGCCAGCCUCAGCAACUAAGGAAGGCCCUAAACAACUUAGCAAGAUCCUGUCUCAA
rnacentral:sRNA from 1 species